rnacentral:rRNA from 1 species
GGCGUAAAGCGUGCGUAGGGUGGUUGUUUAAGUCCGUUGUGAAAGCCCUGGGCUCAACCUGGGAACUGCAGUGGAUACUGGGCGACUAGAAUGUGGUAGAGGGUAGCGGAAUUCCUGGUGUAGCAGUGAAAUGCGUAGAGAUCAGGAGGAACAUCCAUGGGGAAGGCAGCUACCUGGACCAACAUUGACACUGAGGCACGAAAGCGUGGGGAGCAAACAGGAUUAGAUACCCUGGUAGUCCACGCCCUAAACGAUGCGAACUGGAUGUUGGGUGCAAUUUGGCACGCAGUAUCGAAGCUAACGCGUUAAGUUCGCCGCCUGGGGAGUACGGUCGCAAGACUGAAACUCAAAGGAAUUGACGGGGGCCCGCACAAGCGGUGGAGUAUGUGGUUUAAUUCGAUGCAACGCGAAGAACCUUACCUGGCCUUGACAUGUCGAGAACUUUCCAGAGAUGGAUUGGUGCCUUCGGGAACUCGAACACAGGUGUUGCAUGGCUGUCGUCAGCUUGUGUCGUGAGAUGUUGGGUUAAGUCCCGCAACGAGCGCAACCC